UUUAAUAGACGAACAGUCUACCUUUGUAAACUCCUGCGCCAACUAGGUAUCUUAAUUCAACAUCGAGGUCACAAACUUUAUUAUCGAUAAGAACUCUCUAACAAAAUUAUGCUGUUAUCCCUAUGGUAAUUUAUUCUAUCAAUCAUUAUUAAUGGAUCACUUAUCUCUUUUAAAUUUUAAUGUUUUAUAUCAAGGUCGCCCCAACCAAAUAUAUCUAUUCUUAUCAUACUCUAAUAAUCUAAAAAUAAAUAUAUUAAACUCAAUAGGGUCUUCUCGUCUUUAUGUUCUAUAUCAGCAUUUUUACUGAUUAUUAAAAUUCAUAUAUACAAAUAAUAUAGAAGAUCUUAUGUCUAACCAUUCAUUCAAGACUACAAUUAAUAGCCAAAUUAUCAUGCUACCUUCGCACAGUCAAAAUACUGCGGCUAUUUAUCC
rnacentral:rRNA from 1 species